AUGGCGGCCGCACUGACUCAGCCACACUGUGGGUUCUUUCGACACCUGCUCUUCUCCCUCUGGGCCCUGCAAUGUGGUCUAGUAGCUGGAGAUUCCGGAGUGAAAGUGAUCCAGCAACCACCACUUGCCAGCCACCCACAAGGUGGGACCCUGGAGCUGACUUGUACUGUCAAUGAAGACAACUAUUAUUUCUACUGGUACCGCCAACUCCCUGGACAGACAGAGCUUCAGCACCUCGGGACUUUCAAAGCUUUUGAAGUCAACCUGGAGGAGAAGCCAGGAAAUGAUCUGGGGAAUCGGCUGAGUGGCAAACGGAAGGGAAGCUCAUCACAUUUGAACCUAACAGGCCUCCAGUCUACUGACACAGGACUGUAUCUGUGUUCUGCAAAGGACACAGUGAAUCUUGAGCAACAGGAGCUGGUGCAAAACUGA